GACGAACGCUGGCGGCGUGCUUAACACAUGCAAGUCGAACGGAAAGGCCCUGCUUUUGUGGGGUGCUCGAGUGGCGAACGGGUGAGUAACACGUGAGUAACCUGCCCUUGACUUUGGGAUAACUUCAGGAAACUGGGGCUAAUACCGGAUAGGAGCUCCUGCUGCAUGGUGGGGGUUGGAAAGUUUCGGCGGUUGGGGAUGGACUCGCGGCUUAUCAGCUUGUUGGUGGGGUAGUGGCUUACCAAGGCUUUGACGGGUAGCCGGCCUGAGAGGGUGACCGGCCACAUUGGGACUGAGAUAGGGCCCGGACUCAUACGGGAGGCAGCAGUGGGGAAUAGUGCACAAUGGGCGGAAGCCUGAUGCAGCAACGCCGGGUGCGGGAUGACGGCCUUCGGGUUGUAAACCGCUUUCGCCUGUGACGAAGCGUGAGUGACGGUAAUGGGGAAAGAAGCACCGGCUAACUACGU
rnacentral:rRNA from 1 species